AAAAAAAAAAAAACUAAUGCAGCAGCAGACUAAAUAAAUCAAACCGUAAAAUCAAAAACCUCGCGCAAACCAAAAUCUCAAGCAAAAGUGCAAAACCAAAACCUUAACAUUCUACCCUAUCCUUUCUAACAAAACCCCAGAAUCCAAUCUCCUGGAAAACUUAGACCAUAAUCACGCACCACUACCAGAUCACCGCUGCACCACCAGAUCACCGCCGCACUACUGUACCGCAUUAUUGUUCGUUGGCCCCCCUCUCCCUCUCCCUCUACUCAAAAUCCCCAAUUCGUCUAGCGCUUUUCGGCGACUUUUAGGGUUUUGCGCAAAAAUUGAAUCACACAGCGUCGAAUGGCCGGAGCUAGAUCUUUGUUCUUUGGCUCCCCUCUCCUUCUCUCUCCUUUGGCUGUUUUAUAUAUCAAGAAAGAAUUCAACUUGCAGAGUGCACCAACUUUGGAAGGCUUAAUUGUGACUAUGGCACUAGUUGGAGCAACUCUGAUCACAACAUGUUGCGGACCGAUUUCAGAUCGUGUUGGUCGUCGCCCUAUGAUGAUUAUCUCAUCUCUCUGUUACUUUGUUAGUUCCUAAAUAAUUUUGGGGUCUCCUAAUAAUUAUGUUAUACUCUUUCACCUUCUAUUGGAUGGUUGCGGAAAUUGGUAGUAGUCACUCUUGUUCCUCUUUAUAUACCAGAGACAGCUCCAACUGAAAUAAGGGGUUCAUUGAACACACUUCCUCAGUUCACUGGUUCUGGUGGAAUGUUUGCCGCGAACUGUAUGGUUUUUGGAAUGUCACUAAUAGGAAAACCUAGUUGGAGAUUGAUACUUGGGGUUAUUUUAGUUUCAUCCAGUAUUCACUAUAUAUUAACUGUAUUCUUCUUGCCCGAGUCUCCUCGUUGGCUUGUUAGUAAAGGAAGAAUGAAUGAGGCCAAAAGGGUUCUUCAACAAUUGCGAGGCAGGGAUGAUGUCGAUGAGAUGAUAACCAACAUUGAGUAGAGUUUGAAGAGAGAAAAGUAACUAUAAUGAAGUAAACAUGGAUUUGAAAACAUGAUGCAUCUAUCUUUUGUUGAUAUUGCAAUUCGGUCAAGCUGCAAACCAAUAACUCCAUCCCACUCACUGUCAUUUUCUGUCUCAUCUAAACCAGGGAAGAUUGUUUCUCCUUUCUUUCCGUCUUGAAGUCUUAUCUCAUCUAAUUGUUAGUGAGUAUGAUUUAGACUCACAUCUGUCUAAACUUUUACUUAGUGUUAGUUCUUCAGGUUGGAUUAUGAUGACUAUGUAAUACUUUGAUCUAAGAGCUUUUUAUUAAAACCUACUUAUAUUUUCUCGUCUUCUCCUUAAAAAAAGUCUUGAAAAUGAAAGCAAUGUUUGGAAAUUGAUCUUAAAUAGAUAGUUGAUUGAAAAUUGAAAGGUAAAGCAAUGUGAUGUAAUUUACAUUUUCUUUGAUAGUUUGAUGGGUAUUAUAAAGUUGUUAUGUGGGCUAGCUUUGCUAUCACCUCUUAGUUUUUUCUGAUAAAUCUGACAGGUUUGAGACAUCAAAUCCCUGUACUUGUUCCAUAAGCAGCCUGCUUGAUACUAAUUCAUGUCACUAUUUCAGCAAUCAUGAUAGCUAGGUUUAAUCGUAUAGUCAACAGUCUUAACACGAAAAAAUACUGGCAAUUUGAGACUUAAAUCCUUAAGAGAUAACCCGUGCUGUUGUUUGUCUGGACUUCUGUCUGCACCUCCCUGCAAUCCUGUUGCUGUUUUUGUAUUGCUUGCCGCAUGUUCUUUGUUAAAUACUAUUUCUUCUUGCUAUCAUGUUCAUUUAGUACUCUUACAUUUUAACUUGUAUUGUAGUAUUUUAACAAAGCUCCCACGUAUUCUCAAACUACGAUUUACGAGCUAAGGGAGAGGUGGAUCUCAUACGUUAUCGAAUAUCACCAAUCAAAUAACGAUGAAGAUGAAGAUUAUGAUGAUGAUGAUCUAGUGUGACUUAAGCUAGCUCAGGGAGAUGGUUACCUCAGUUCAGUCCGGCAGAUGAACUGCCAAGUCUACCACCAGUAGACAAUUCCAACAAUAUGGUCCUUGUUCUUGCUGCAGAAGCUGCCAUUGUUUUUGCUACACCAUCCCUAGUUGCUGCUGCAAUCCCCAGUACGUUGCUGCUGCUACAGAAGCUUCAGCUCUUGAAUAUUUUUUUUUUAUUUAUAUUGGAUUUUGUUUUUGCCGUACCUUAGUGUAGAUCGUUUAUAUUUUAUCAAUGAAUAAUAAGAUUUUGUUAUUGAAUGAACACUAUUAUGUUGUUAUUGAAUGAAAGUAUUUUUGGAAAGAUCGUGUGGA